GGACCGUUGCUAACCGCCGUUAGCUGUCCGAGAGACCGGGCGCGUGCUGGACGCCCAUUUUUGCCCCGAGUUUCUGAUGAUGCUGCCAGCCACACACACACACACCUGCUGCCGCCGCCGUACAGGUGCUCAGGACGUCAGAGGGACCUGCUUUUGCACGCGGACGGAGCCUCAUGGCGGGUUUCUUCAUCGCACAGCGGGACGGAGGGGUUUGAAAAGACUUUGAGAGUACAAAAGAUGGAACAUCCUACAUUCAAGCAGUCACCUAAUGGUCAGGAGAGGCAGGCCUUUUUUGGCUUCGGGGACUUUAAAUUUGAGACCCUGCAGAGCCUGUACAAUUCUUAGGACCCCUAAAAAGUUCCGAUUUGUCAACCUCCUCCAGAGGAAGGCGCCAUCUCACAGCACGCAGAUGGAGAACGCCGUCCGCUACGUCAGGAUCAGAGACAGACAGAGAGAUACUGCUGCUGCAGCUGCAUCCACCACCGCCACAGACAGAGCCACGGCCACCACCGGCGGCGGCGGCAGCAGCAGUAGCAGCACAGCCUCUGUCUCGGCCGCAAGCCAGGGAGCUAGGAGUGCAUCACAUUACGUGUUUUAUGUUAAAGCUGCCUGAAUUCGAUGUACCUGUAUGAACUUUCUGAAGACAUUUUAGUGUUUGUCCUGUUGUUACAUUAUAGAUGUUGUUGUGUGUAUGUGUGUGCCGUAGAGGAGUGUAAGUAAAAAGUGAAGUCAUAUUCAUGUAACAUAUUGUAAAUAACAAAGACUUGAAUUCUGUCAUGGUUUUGGGUUUGUAUUUGAUUAGUUCCUGUUUUAUUUUGAAAUAUUCUCCUUCCCUCGUGUAAGAUUUGCUUCCUGUCUUUGAUUCCUGUGAUUGUUUUUCACCUGUGUCUCGUUGUCUGUAAGUGUAUUUAAGUCUGUGUCUUCAUCUGUUCUGUGUGUUAAGUGUCUGGACCCUAGUGUUCUGUGGUUCUUGGAUUUAUGUGCUGUUUCUGGUGUAUUUUCAUUUAUGGACUUUUGGAUUUUGUGCUUUGGUGUCUACCUGUUGGACUUGUUUGCCUUUUUUUUUUAAAAAUGCUUUCCUGGUUGUGACUGCUGCCUACCUGUAACCCGAGUAAGUCUUGUUCUUUUUAUUAAAACUGUUUCCUGGCUUGACACUUAAACAUGACAAAUUCAUUUUUGAUUUUCCUUGUUGUUUUGCUUUAUAAAUGUUUCCGUAAUCAGAAGGACAGGAAACGUCAGGGUGGAAGCCUGGUGCAAGUCUCUAAUCAUUAACCCACACGCUGGCCAAUCACCAGUCAAAACAUCAUUAACGAGUGCACCUGCAGAUUCACAUUUUCUUUAUCGUUUCUCUAGUUACCCGCAUAACUCAUCCAGGUGCUGCCUUCAUCCCUCAGCAAGUCUAAUCUGUUAUCAUUUUGUCUCAUCCUUACUUUCUCUCUACAAACUGCCUUCUGUGCUCCUGCUCUGUUGAUGCAGCUUGGCUGAGCAUCUGCCCAUCAUUCAUCAUUCAAAUCUAAUUCUUUCAUGUUACUGAAACAUUUUAUUUCUCUUUAAGCCUCAGAUGUACAGGCUCUCUUGCUCCUGCAGCAUCCACCUUUUGCCACCACCUCAGCAGUGCCACAGAAGGGGGCUGGUGUCUGUGCUGUGCCGGGCGAGCCCACAGACGAGGAGCUGCUGGAGGCCACACGGGAGCAAGACCACCCCCUACAACCUCCAGCAGCCCUCGUCACGGUCCAGCUACAGUGUCACCAGCUUCCUCCACCAGAGGAGUUGCCCGAGCCAGCCUUCUUCCCUCCCCCACCACCUGUUGACAGUGCUGAGUUCUCUCUCCCGCUGCUACCUGAGUCCUGGCAGGCAGGAUGCCACAUCAGAUCUGGCAUCUGCAGCUGACAUAACCCCAGCCUUUGUGCAUUGGGUCCAUGACAAAGGCUGGGCUGUACAGGACCAUCCGGAGGGUCCUGGACAUCUAUGGCUGGUAUCUCAUGGCCACUGAGUACCUGGAGUGUUGUCAAUGCUGUCCUGUGACCUGAGGGUCCCGCACUCUAGGAAACAGUGCUACUCGGCUGUGCAACACUCGGACGCUUGGAUGCGGAGAGCGAUCCAGAACCUUGGCAUGUGCGAGCAGUUCCUGUCCUUGUGCUCUGUUAGGGGGCAGUUUCCACCACCGCGGCAGAUGCUCCCUCUGCUUUCACCUGUCUGGCUGCUAACGGUGUGCGGCUGGACAAGUACAAGGCCAGGAUCACAUCCACCUUAGGAUCCAUCUUGAAGAUGGAUUCAACCAAGUAG